rnacentral:tRNA from 1 species
ACCACGGUGGUCUAGCGGUUAGAACGCUGGCCUUGUAAUCCUGGGGUCUCGGGUUCGAUUCCCGGCGGUGCCA